AUGGAGGCUGAAUUUUACAUGGCGAUUCUUACCUGCUUCAUCUUCGUGAACUCAGAGGGUUUUCAGAUUGUCCAUGUCCAGAAACAACAGUGUCUUUUCAAAAAUAAGAGAGUGGUCAUGGACUUGUGCAGUAGGACAAACCAGAACCAGCAGUGGAUGUGGACUGAGGAUGGAAAGCUCCUUCAUGUUAAAUCUGCUCUGUGCCUGGGCAUCUCCAAUUCCUCUGGUGGCCCUGGCCGGGCCGCCAUCUUUGCCCCCUGCUCCCAGGCUCCUCGAUGGACUUGCUAUGAGAAGGAAGGGUUCCUUGAGGUGGAAAAUGCCUCUCUCUUUCUCAAGAAACAAGGCUCCAGGGCAGUGGUCAAGAACGGCAGAAAGUACCUCCAUAGCUGGAUGAAAAUAGAUGUCAACGAGGAAGGAAAGCCAGUCAGUGAAAGCCUCUGCUCUAAAAAAGCUGGCCCGGGAACUGAAGUCUCGGUAAGGAGCAUUAGAAACACAGCUCCUCCCCAGACCCCCGCUACUUUUAAUGCACUUCCAUAUAGCCCGGGACACCUUAUUAGAAAUACCACCGAGGCCUUCACCAGAAGUACCCCGGAAAACUACAGCCAGAACAGCAGCCAGAGGGAGCAUCCCAGUCUAUGGAUGGCUGGAAUGACAUCUUGGGUUCCCUGGACUACUCCACCCUUCUCCAGCACCACGGAAGAGACUGGACUGGGGGAGCCAGUGAGAUGCAACUUCACCUUGACAGAGUCCAGGGUCUCCAGCCGGUCCGUGUCUCUCCAGUGGAGAACUUUGGCGUUCCCCUGUAACUUUAACCUCACCUACAGCAGUGACACGUCGGGGGUCGCGUGGUGCCACCCUGUACGGAUAGACAACACCACCUAUGGAUGUAACUCCAAGGAUUUACAAGCAGGAACCAUCUACAAUUUCACUAUUAUGUCUCUGGAUGGAGAAAAGAAAACUAUGGUCUUGCAAACAGAUCCUUUACCUCCUGCUAGGUUUGAAGUCAGUAAAGAGAAAACUACUUCUACCAGUUUGCAUGUUUGGUGGACUCCUUCCUCGGGAAAAGUCACCUGGUAUGAGGUACAGUUACUUGACGAUAACCAAAAGAUACAGAUGGCCCAAAUUCAAGAAAGAGCUUCACGGAAUGAAUACACGUUUUUCAACCUCACUGCUGGUAAUAAGUAUAAAAUUGCCAUCACAGCUGUUUCUGGGGAUAAACGUUCCUCUACAAUGUAUGCCAAUGGAUCAACAGUGCCAUCCCCAGUGAAAGACAUUGGUGUUUUGGCGAAAACUAAUUCGCUCCUGAUUUCCUGGUCACGUGGCUCUGGGAACGUGGAACGAUACCAGCUGAUGUUAAUGGAUAAAGGGAUUCUAGUUCAUAGUAAUGCUGUGGACACUACUUUCUACACUUUUCAUGGACUGACGCCUGGUCACCUCUAUAAUGUCACCAUUGUUAGUGAGGCUGCAGGGCUGCAAAACUACAGAUGGAAAUCAGCCAGGACAACCCCCAUGGAAGUCUCAAAUCUGAAGGUGACGAAUGAAGGCACUACGACUUCUCUAAAAGUCAAGUGGCAAAAGCCUUCCGGAAAUGUGGAUUUCUACAACAUUACCCUGUCUUACCAAGGGACCAUCAAACAAUCCAGAAUAUUAGCAUCCCAGAUUACUGAAAGUCAAUUUAAAGACUUGGCCCCUGGACGACUUUAUCAAGUCACCAUCAGCUGUGUGUCUGGUGAAUUAUCUGCUCACAAGACAGCAGUGGGCAGAACAGUUCCACAGAAAGUUGAGGACCUGGAGGCAAACAGCAAUGGUUCUACGAAGUCCCUGGUGGUAAGCUGGUCGCCCCCUGCUGGAGACUGGGAGCGCUAUCGUAUCCUGCUCUGGAAUGAUUCUUCGGUGCUGCUCAACAUCACCGUGGGAAAGGAGGAAACACGCUAUGUCAUAGAUGACGUGGGGCUUAUACCGGGAAGACAGUAUGAGAUAGAAGUCACUGUUGAGAGCGGAAAUCUGAAGAAUUCUACGCGUUGCCAAGGCAGGACAGUUCCCCUGGCUGUCCUUCAUCUUCGUGUCAAACAUGCCAAUGAAACCUCGCUGACCAUCAUGUGGCAGACCCCUGCAGCAGAAUGGGAGAAAUACAUCAUUUCACUCAUCGACAGAGACCUCUUACUCAUCCAUAAGUUGCUUCCCAGAGAUGCCAAAGAAUUCACUUUCACUGACCUGGUGCCUGGACGAAAAUACAUAGCUACAGUCACCAGUAUUAGUGGAGACCUCAAAAAUUCAUCUUUAACAAAAGGAAGAACAGUGCCUGCCCAAGUGACUGGUUUGCAUGUGGCCAACCAAGGGACAACAAACAGUCUGUUUACUAACUGGACCCAGGCCUUGGGAGACAUAGAGUUCUACCAAGUCCUACUGAUCCAUGAAAAUGUGGUCAUCAAAAAUGAAAGUGUCUCCAGUGAGACUAGCAGAUACAGCUUCCACUCCCUCAAAUCAGGCAGCCUCUACUCCGUGGUGGUAACAACAGUAAGCGGAGGGAUCUCUUCCCGACAAGUGGUGGUGGAGGGAAGGACAGUCCCUUCCAGUGUGAGUGGAGUAACGGUAAACAACUCUGGCCGCAGUGACUACCUCAGCAUAUCCUGGCUGCCGGCUCCCGGAGACGUGGAUAGCUAUGUGGUGACGCUCUCCCACGGCGGCAGGGUGGUCCAGUCCCUCGUGACUGCCAAGUCUGUCGGUGAAUGUUCCUUCAGCUCCCUCACCCCAGGCCGCCUCUACAACGUGACCAUAACUACGAGGAGCGGCAAAUAUGAAAGUCAUUCCUUCAGCCAAGAACGGACAGUCCCAGAGGCUGUUAAGGAUCUCACGCUGAAGAACAGGAGCACUGAGGACCUUUGGGUGACAUGGACACGAGCUGAUGGGGAUGUCGACCAGUACGAGAUCCAGCUGCUCUUCAACGAUAUGAAAGUAUUUCCUCCUUUCCACCUCGUCAGCACUGUGACUGAGUAUCGAUUCACCUCCCUCACACCAGGGCGCAAGUAUAAAAUUCUUGUCUUGACGAUUAGUGGAGAUGUCCAGCAGUCAGCCUUCAUUGAAGGCUUCACAGUUCCUAGUGUGGUCAAAAAUAUUCACAUUUCUCCCAGUGGAGCAACAGAUAGCCUGACAGUGAACUGGACUCCUGGUGGGGGUGAUGUGGAUUCCUAUGUGGUGUCAGCAUUCAGGCAGAAUCAAAUGGUCGAGUCUCAGACUGUCCUCAAGCAUGUCUCUGAGCACACGUUCCAGAGGCUGGAGGCUGGCGAGCAGUACCGGAUUGUGAUCGCUUCUGUCAGCGGGUCCCAGAAGAACCAGAUCGAUGCGCUUGGGCGGACAAUCCCAGCAUCUGUCCAGGGAAUAACUGCAGACAAUGCAUACAGUAGUCAUUCUUUAAUAGUAAGUUGGCAAAAAGCUGUUGGCAUGGCAGAAAGAUAUGACAUCCUACUUCUGAGUGAAAAUGGGAUCCUCCUAAGUAACACAUCAGAGGCAGCCACCACGAAGCAGCACAAGUUUGAAGACCUAACACCAGGAAAGAAGUACAAGAUACAGAUCCUAACUGUCAGCGGAGGCCUCUUUAGCAAGGAAGCCCAAACAGAAGGCCGAACAGUCCCAGCAGCUGUCACCAAUCUGAGGAUCACAGAGAACUCCACGCGACACCUGUCCUUUAGCUGGACCCCCUCAGAGGGGGAGCUCAACUCCUACAACAUCUUUCUGUACAACCCAGAUCGAACUCUUAAGGAUCGAGCUCAAGUUGACCCGCAAGUCCAGAGCUUCUCCUUCCAGAACUUGCUACAAGGUCGAAUGUACAGAAUGGUGAUUGUAACUCACAGUGGGGAGCUGUCAAAUGAGUCUUUCAUAUUUGGGAGAACAGUCCCAGCCACUGUGAGUAACCUCAAAGGAUCCAAUCAAAACAUGACAGACAGCCUCUGGUUCAGCUGGAGUCCAGCCCCUGGGGACUUUGACUUUUAUGAACUGAUUCUCUAUAACCCCAAUGGCACAAAGAAGGAAAACUGGAAAGACAAGGACCUGACAGAGUGGCGUUUUCAUGGCCUCGUUCCCGGAAGGAAGUAUACUCUGUGUGUGAUAACUCACAGUGGAGAUCUCAGCAACAGGGCCAUGGGAGAGAGCAGAACAGCCCCAAGUCCUCCCAGUCUUAUGUCAUUUGCUGAUGUUACAAACACAUCACUGGCCAUCACCUGGAAAGGCCCACCAGACUGGACAGACUAUGAUGACUUUGAGCUGCAGUGGUUCCCCAGAGAUGCCAUCACAGUCUUCAACCCCUACAGCAACAGAAAAUCAGAAGGACGCAUCGUGCAUGGUCUUCGUCCAGGGAGAUCUUAUCAAUUUAGCGUCAAGACCGUCAGUGGUGAUUCCUGGAAAACCUACAGCAAACCAAUUUUUGGAUCUGUGAGGACAAAGCCAGACAAGAUACAGAACCUGCAUUGCCGCCCUCAGAACUCUACAGCCAUUGCCUGUUCUUGGAUCCCUCCCGAUUCUGACUUUGAUGGGUACAGCAUUGAGUGCCGGAAAAUGGACACUCAAGAAGUUGAGUUCUCCAGAAAGCUGGAGAAAGAAAAAUCUCUGCUUAACAUCAUGAUGUUGGUGCCUCAUAAGAGGUACCUGGUGUCUAUCAAGGUGCAGUCGGCAGGCAUGACCAGCGAGGUGGUUGAGGACAGCACCAUCACCAUGAUAGACCGCCCCCCUCCUCCACCUCCACAUAUUCGUGUGAAUAAAAAGGAUGUGCUAAUUAGCAAAUCUUCCAUCAACUUUACUUUCAACUGCAGCUGGUUCAGCGACGCCAAUGGAGCUGUGAAAUACUUCACAGUGGUGGUGAGAGAGGCUGAUGGCAAUGACGAGCUGAAGCCAGAGCCACAGCACCCCCUGCCCUCCUACCUGGAAUACAGGCACAACGCCUCCAUUCGGGUGUAUCAGACCGAUUACUUUGCCAGCAAAUGUGCCGAAAGUCCUGACAGCAACUCUAAGAGUUUCAACAUUAAGCUUGGAGCAGAGAUGGAGAGCCUGGGUGGAAAAUGUGAUCCCAAUCAGCAAAAAUUUUGUGACGGGCCACUGAAGCCGCGCACGGCCUACAGAAUCAGCAUUCGGGCUUUCACCCAGCUAUUUGAUGAGGACCUGAAGGAAUUCACAAAACCACUCUAUUCAGACACAUUUUUCUCUUUGCCCAUCACCACUGAGUCAGAGCCUCUGUUUGGAGUUAUUGAAGGUGUGAGUGCUGGUCUGUUCUUAAUUGGCAUGCUUGUCGCUGUUGUCGCCUUAUUCAUCUGCAGACGGAAAGCCAGCCAUGGUCGAGAAAGGCCCUCUGCCCGUCUGAGCAUUCGUCGGGAUCGACCACUGUCAGUCCACUUGAACUUGGGCCAGAAAGGUAGCAGGAAGACUUCUUGCCCAAUAAAAGUAAAUCAGUUUGAAGGGCACUUCAUGAAGCUGCAGGCUGACUCCAACUAUCUUCUAUCCAAGGAAUACGAGGAUUUAAAAGACGUGGGUCGAAACCAAUCAUGUGACAUUGCACUCUUGCCGGAGAACAGAGGGAAAAAUCGAUACAACAACAUAUUGCCCUAUGAUUCCUCUCGAGUGAAGCUGUCCAACGUGGAUGAUGACCCAUGCUCUGACUAUAUCAAUGCCAGCUACAUCCCUGGCAACAACUUCAGGAGAGAAUACAUCGCAACUCAGGGACCUCUUCCUGGCACCAAGGAUGACUUCUGGAAAAUGGCGUGGGAACAGAAUGUUCACAACAUCGUCAUGGUGACCCAGUGUGUGGAGAAGGGCCGAGUAAAGUGUGACCAUUAUUGGCCAGCGGACCAAGAUUCCCUCUACUAUGGGGACCUCAUUCUGCAGAUGCUGUCGGAAUCCGUGCUGCCCGAGUGGACCAUCCGGGAAUUUCGGAUAUGCAGUGAGGAACAGUUGGAUGCACACAGACUCAUCCGCCACUUCCACUACACCGUAUGGCCAGACCACGGUGUCCCGGAGAGCACCCAGUCCCUGAUCCAGUUUGUGAGAACUGUCAGGGACUACAUCGACAGGACCCCCGGGGCCGGGCCCACUGUGGUGCACUGCAGUGCUGGUGUGGGUAGGACUGGAACCUUUAUUGCAUUGGAUCGAAUCCUCCAGCAAUUAGACUCCAAAGAUUCUGUGGACAUUUAUGGAGCUGUGCAUGACCUAAGACUUCACAGGGUUCACAUGGUCCAGACCGAGUGUCAGUAUGUGUACCUACAUCAGUGUGUAAGAGAUGUGCUCAGAGCAAGGAAGCUACGGAGUGAACAAGAAAACCCUUUGUUUCCAAUCUACGAAAAUGUGAAUCCAGAGUAUCACAGAGAUUCAGGCUAUUCAAGGCAUUGA
rnacentral:lncRNA from 1 species